rfam:Lingula anatina scaffold346, whole genome shotgun sequence.
AGCUUUGCGCAGUGGCGGUACCAUAGCCAAUGAGAUUUAUCCGAGGCGUGGUUAUUGCUAGUUGAAAACUAUACCCAAUACCCCGUGCUGACGUCGUGAAAUACCGACGGUAGCACAAUUUUUGAACGCCUCUACGGGGG